rnacentral:rRNA from 1 species
GGUUAAGCGACUAAGCGUACACGGUGGAUGCCCUGGCAGUCAGAGGCGAUGAAGGACGUGCUAAUCUGCGAAAAGCGACGGCGAGGUGAUAUGAACCUUUGACCCGUCGAUGUCCGAAUGGGGAAACCCAGUGUGAUUCGUCACACUAUCGUUAACUGAAUACAUAGGUUAACGAGGCGAACCGGGGGAACUGAAACAUCUAAGUACCCCGAGGAAAAGAAAUCAACCGAGAUUCCCCCAGUAGCGGCGAGCGAACGGGGAGCAGCCCGGAGUCUGAAUCAGCUUGUGUGUUAGUGGAAGCGUCUGGAAAGUCGCACGGUACAGGGUGACAGUCCCGUACACGAAAAUGCACAGGUUGUGAACUCGAAGAGUAGGGCGGGACACGUGGUAUCCUGUCUGAAUAUGGGGGGACCAUCCUCCAAGGCUAAAUACUCCUGACUGACCGAUAGUGAACCAGUACCGUGAGGGAAAGGCGAAAAGAACCCCGGCGAGGGGAGUGAAAAAGAACCUGAAACCGUGUACGUACAAGCAGUGGGAGCACCUUCGUGGUGUGACUGCGUACCUUUUGUAUAAUGGGUCAGCGACUUAUAUUCUGUAGCAAGGUUAACCGUAUAGGGGAGCCGCAGGGAAACCGAGUCUUAACUGGGCGUUAAGUUGCAGGGUAUAGACCCGAAACCCGGUGAUCUAGCCAUGGGCAGGUUGAAGGUUGGGUAACACUAACUGGAGGACCGAACCGACUAAUGUUGAAAAAUUAGCGGAUGACCUGUGGCUGGGGGUGAAAGGCCAAUCAAACCGGGAGAUAGCUGGUUCUCCCCGAAAGCUAUUUAGGUAGCGCCUCGUGAACUCAUCUUCGGGGGUAGAGCACUGUUUCGGCUAGGGGGCCAUCCCGGCUUACCAACCCGAUGCAAACUACGAAUACCGAAGAAUGUUAUCACGGGAGACACACGGCGGGUGCUAACGUCCGUCGUGAAGAGGGAAACAACCCAGACCGCCAGCUAAGGUCCCAAAGUCAUGGUUAAGUGGGAAACGAUGUGGGAAGGCACAGACAGCCAGGAUGUUGGCUUAGAAGCAGCCAUCAUUUAAAGAAAGCGUAAUAGCUCACUGGUCGAGUCGGCCUGCGCGGAAGAUGUAACGGGGCUAAACCAUGCACCGAAGCUGCGGCAGCGACGCUUAUGCGUUGUUGGGUAGGGGAGCGUUCUGUAAGCCGUCGAAGGUGUGCUGUGAGGCAUGCUGGAGGUAUCAGAAGUGCGAAUGCUGACAUAAGUAACGAUAAAGCGGGUGAAAAGCCCGCUCGCCGGAAGACCAAGGGUUCCUGUCCAACGUUAAUCGGGGCAGGGUGAGUCGACCCCUAAGGCGAGGCCGAAAGGCGUAGUCGAUGGGAAACAGGUUAAUAUUCCUGUACUUGGUGUUACUGCGAAGGGGGGACGGAGAAGGCUAUGUCAGCCGGGCGACGGUUGUCCCGGUUUAAGCGUGUAGGUGUGUGUUCCAGGCAAAUCCGGUUCACUUUAACACUGAGGCGUGAUGACGAGGCACUACGGUGCUGAAGUGAUAAAUGCCCUGCUUCCAGGAAAAGCCUCUAAGCAUCAGGUAACACGAAAUCGUACCCCAAACCGACACAGGUGGUCAGGUAGAGAAUACCAAGGCGCUUGAGAGAACUCGGGUGAAGGAACUAGGCAAAAUGGUGCCGUAACUUCGGGAGAAGGCACGCUGAUAUGUAGGUGAAGUCCCUGCGGACGGAGCUGAAAUCAGUCGAAGAUACCAGCUGGCUGCAACUGUUUAUUAAAAACACAGCACUGUGCAAACACGAAAGUGGACGUAUACGGUGUGACGCCUGCCCGGUGCCGGAAGGUUAAUUGAUGGGGUUAGCGGCAACGCGAAGCUCUUGAUCGAAGCCCCGGUAAACGGCGGCCGUAACUAUAACGGUCCUAAGGUAGCGAAAUUCCUUGUCGGGUAAGUUCCGACCUGCACGAAUGGCGUAAUGAUGGCCAGGCUGUCUCCACCCGAGACUCAGUGAAAUUGAACUCGCUGUGAAGAUGCAGUGUACCCGCGGCAAGACGGAAAGACCCCGUGAACCUUUACUAUAGCUUGACACUGAACACUGGUCCUUGAUGUGUAGGAUAGGUGGGAGGCUUUGAAGCGUGGACGCCAGUCUGCGUGGAGCCAUCCUUGAAAUACCACCCUUUAAUGGCUGGUGUUCUAACGUGGACCCGUAAUCCGGGUUGCGGACAGUGUCUGGUGGGUAGUUUGACUGGGGCGGUCUCCUCCCAAAGAGUAACGGAGGAGCACGAAGGUUAGCUAAUCCUGGUCGGACAUCAGGAGGUUAGUGCAAUGGCAUAAGCUAGCUUGACUGCGAGAGUGACGGCUCGAGCAGGUGCGAAAGCAGGUCAUAGUGAUCCGGUGGUUCUGAAUGGAAGGGCCAUCGCUCAACGGAUAAAAGGUACUCCGGGGAUAACAGGCUGAUACCGCCCAAGAGUUCAUAUCGACGGCGGUGUUUGGCACCUCGAUGUCGGCUCAUCACAUCCUGGGGCUGAAGUAGGUCCCAAGGGUAUGGCUGUUCGCCAUUUAAAGUGGUACGCGAGCUGGGUUUAGAACGUCGUGAGACAGUUCGGUCCCUAUCUGCCGUGGGCGCUGGAGAAUUGAGGGGGGCUGCUCCUAGUACGAGAGGACCGGAGUGGACGCAUCACUGGUGUUCGGGUUGUCAUGCCAAUGGCACUGCCCGGUAGCUAAAUGCGGAAGAGAUAAGUGCUGAAAGCAUCUAAGCACGAAACUUGCCCCGAGAUGAGUUCUCCCUGAGACUAUAAGUCUCCUGAAGGAACGUUGAAGACGACGACGUUGAUAGGCCGGGUGUGUAAGCGCAGCGAUGCGUUGAGCUAACCGGUACUAAUGAACCGUGAGGCUUAACCUU